rnacentral:rRNA from 1 species
GAUGAACGCUAGCGGCAGGCUUAAUACAUGCAAGUCGAACGGUAACAUGAGUAGCAAUACUUGAUGACGAGUGGCGCACGGGUGCGUAACGCGUAUGCAAUCUACCUUUAACUGGUGAAUAGCCCGAAGAAAUUCGGAUUAAUACACCAUAGUAUAUUAGAGUGGCAUCACUUUAAUAUUAAAACUCCGGUGGUUAAAGAUUAGCAUGCGUGACAUUAGCUAGUUGGUGAGGUAAUGGCUCACCAAGGCUACGAUGUCUAGGGGAUCUGAGAGGAUUAACCCCCACACU